GUAGGGUGCAAGCGUUGUCCGGAAUUACUGGGUGUAAAGGGAGCGCAGGCGGACCGGCAAGUUGGAAGUGAAAACUAUGGGCUCAACCCAUAAAUUGCUUUCAAAACUGCUGGCCUUGAGUAGUGCAGAGGUAGGUGGAAUUCCCGGUGUAGCGGUGGAAUGCGUAGAUAUCGGGAGGAACACCAGUGGCGAAGGCGACCUACUGGGCACCAACUGACGCUGAGGCUCGAAAGCAUGGGUAGCAAACAGGAUUAGAUACCCUGGUAGUCCAUGCCGUAAACGAUGAUUACUAGGUGUUGGAGGAUUGACCCCUUCAGUGCCGCAGUUAACACAAUAAGUAAUCCACCUGGGGAGU
rnacentral:rRNA from 1 species